rnacentral:rRNA from 1 species
UGGGGAAUUUUGGACAAUGGGGGAAACCCUGAUCCAGCCAUCCCGCGUGUGCGAUGAAGGCCUUCGGGUUGUAAAGCACUUUUGGCAGGAAAGAAACGUCAUGGGUUAAUACCCCGUGAAACUGACGGUACCUGCAGAAUAAGCACCGGCUAACUACGUGCCAGCAGCCGCGGUAAUACGUAGGGUGCAAGCGUUAAUCGGAAUUACUGGGCGUAAAGCGUGCGCAGGCGGUUCGGAAAGAAAGAUGUAAAAUCCCAGAGCUCAACUUUGGAACUGCAUUUUUAACUACCGGGCUAGAGUGUGUCAGGGGGAGGUGGAAUUCCGCGUGUAGCAGUGAAAUGCGUAGAUAUGCGGAGGAACACCGAUGGCGAAGGCAGCCUCCUGGGAUAACACUGACGCUCAUGCACGAAAGCGUGGGGAGCAAACAGG